rnacentral:lncRNA from 1 species
AACACCUAUCUUACAGGUGGGAGGUGAGCAGGGAGUGCUUGGGCCAAACUUCUGGGACCCAAUCAGUGCAUUACAAAUAGCUGCUAUGAUCUGCUGGUUCUUAGUAGGACUUGAUCUGUGAUAUACACAGAGAAAAGAAAUAAGAUUUUAAUAUAAGAAGAUCAUCAGGAGCCCACAUCUUCUGUAAACGAAUAUUAGGGUUUACAUCACCACAAAGGAGCUAGAGGAAUGAAAAGAAGAGGAUACAGAAACUUCCUGGGGUGAAGAGGAUGGAGGAAGGUGCUAUCAAAGACAUUUCCACUCAAAGGAAAGACUCGGAUGAUCAUUCUUACCCUGGGAAGUUCUUUCUGCUGCUUUGAUGGUGUAAUCAUUUUUCUCUCCUUGACUGUGGCCUAUUUUCCUAAGGCACCUGAACUUGAGUGAGUGUCUAUGUUCAAGAUGCACCCGUUGCAUAGGAAGCAGCAGAGAUAGCUCGUGGUGGCUUUGGGGCACAG